AGGAGUAUCCAUGUAUUGUUUGGGUGACCAGCAGUUCACAAGACUUUGUGAAACUGUGACGUCAUUUUGACGUCACCCGCAGUUAUCGAACACUGCAGGCCUCCGGGAGAAGCGAAAAUGGGAAACAGCCAAAGAACUAACAGUGAUGCAGACAUUGUAUGCAAACGUAUAUGGUUCGGUUAUCCGCUGUUACAUGUUUUUGAUGACGUUCAUCAGCAAAAAGAAACUACCAACACCGUGGACAAAGAGGGCUGACACUUGUUGCUAUGUUGCUGGCAACACACAAGAUUGGGCAUGAAAUGGAGUCUGAAAAAUCAGUUUACUCCUCCAGAAGAGUACUAGAUGUAACUUGAUAAGCAGCCAAAAUGGCAGUGAAAGUAAAAAAAAUGUGUGCAAUUUUGGAUGAAAUGUUCAAAUAGAUCUUGACUACAAAAUGGAAGUUGGAAUAUUUAUGAGUGACCAUGGUGACCAAUUAAAACUUAGAAGGAAGACAAAAAUUUGCAGAAGAUUCACAAUAAUUUGCAUGCAAGAUUAAUGCUGGCCAUAUAGUGAACUGUGAUAGUUCUGAAGUUUUUGGUCAUUGGUCGUGGAGGCAGUUGGAAAGUUAAUAUCAAUAUGACCAAAGAACAGGAUAAUGGACUGACAGUCUGUAAAUGUACUAUAUUCUCUGAAGUGAGGUUUAAAACUUAUCAUGAACCUUAAGGACAUUGUAGUAACUUCCAGAAAACUCAUGUUACUGUGUUACAAAUAAUUGUGAAAGUGAAAGCAAUGAAAAUUUGUUAACUGAA